GACGAACGCUGGCGGCGUGCUUAACACAUGCAAGUCGAACGGAAAGGCCCUGCUUUUGUGGGGUGCUCGAGUGGCGAACGGGUGAGUAACACGUGAGUAACCUGCCCUUGACUUUGGGAUAACUUCAGGAAACUGGGGCUAAUACCGGAUAGGAGCUCCUGCUGCAUGGUGGGGGUUGGAAAGUUUCGGCGGUUGGGGAUGGACUCGCGGCUUAUCAGCUUGUUGGUGGGGUAGUGGCUUACCAAGGCUUUGACGGGUAGCCGGCCUGAGAGGGUGACCGGCCACAUUGGGACUGAGGUACGGCCCAGACUCCUACGGGAGGCAGCAGUGGGGAAUAUUGCAAAAUGGGCGGAAGCCUGAUGCAGCAACGCCGCGUUCGGGAAGACGGCCUUCGGGUUGGAAACCGCUUUCGCCUGUGACGAAGCGUGAGUGACGGUAAUGGGUAAAGAAGCACCGGCUAACUACGUG
rnacentral:rRNA from 1 species